AUUUUUUUUCUUUACACACGGUUAGGGUUUAUUGUUUUUGAAUAUUAGGGUUUAUCAUUUUUGCUGAAAAAAAUGAUGGUGGUUAUUUUGGUUUGCAGGUACUGGACACCUAAAAAAAUCAGGCUUUUUGGCUUUGCUGCAAACUAACACUUGGAAAAAUCAGAAAUAUUUUCAAGGUAUCCUCAGAUCAUGCAUAUCAUGCGUCUGUUGUGGCUGUUGUACCCGCGCAUACAUGAUACUUCAAACAAUAUCAAGGUACAAACUCAUUCUUGCAAUUUUUCAUAUCAAAAAAAAAAAAAAGAAAAAGAAAACUCAUUCUUGCAAAUAUUGUUGCAAUAUAAAUCAAACACCAUAAUCGUUUUUUUGUUUCCCAGUCCCAGGUCCAAAUGAUGCUUUUUUGCAUUAUUAUUGCCUCAGCUGUUGCUAAAUCAGUAAAUAGUGGUUUGCUCAAUUUCUCAUUAUUGAACAGUGAUCAUGUUCAUAUUGAUUGUUUUCUGUUUUUUUGUUUUUGUUUUUUAAGGCCUGAUGCAACCUUCUUAUGUAGGGAGUUGGGAUUAAUCGAUCUGUUUGUUAGCUGAAAUAGUAUUAAUUGGAUUUAGUGUUUGAAUCUUAGUCAUUUACCAAAUAUUCGCCUUAUUCAAGGUAUGCUAAUGGUGAAGAAUGGGAGAACAAUUACAUUGAAGAAAACUGCGUGUCAAACCUGAGAAGCUUAAUAGUUUGUUGACUUCAAUAACUCUCUCAAUAAUCUCCUUCUCUCUGUUAUUAAUUCAAGCCUUGCUGCAUAAGGUUCACUGAGAAGGGUAAUCACGGAUAACUAUUACCUCCUUCACUUUUGUCAUCUGAUACAAUCUAUGAAGCACGGAUACUGACAUGGGGAUACAAAUCUGGGAUACUGAUACGAGGAUUCGUAAAUUUUUGAGAACUGGGGAUACGAGAUAAGUAAGGAUACGUGUAUUUAUUAAAACCAUUUAAGUUUAUAAUAAUUCUUUUAAGUAAAAAGAAUCAUAUAAAAUAAAACAAAACAAAACAAAACAAAAAACUUUAUGGAAUAUUAAAAUAAAACAGAUAAAAGUUGUUUAACAUCUGGCUCACCCAUCACUCAUAAAUAUUAUCUUCAUCAAAGAGCACUGCUUAUUGUUGUGGCUCGUCAAGUGAAAGAUUUGCAACUUCAAGUUCGCUCUCACCGUCUAGUGUAUCAAAUUUAGCUUCACUGAUAUCCCACAUUCCGCUUUCUCCUUCCGUAUAAUUUUCACUUUUUCGUGAAAGGAGAUGAAUAUUACUAUAAACAAACAAUAAAUCCUCAGUACAUUAGGGUACAUAUGCUCCAAUUUCUCUCCAAUGAUAAAAGUUAUAUAUGAUCCAAUCAUAUUAUAGGAAGUAUCCCCUCUUAGAGUAUCUGAGAGAUAUCCCAAUGUAUCCCUUACCCUUUGCAUAAUUAAUAAAAAUGGAUACUUUAAAUGGAGUAUCCGACACG